rnacentral:rRNA from 1 species
UGGGGAAUUUUGCACAAUGGGCGCAAGCCUGAUGCAGCGACGCCGCGUGAGGGUUGAAGGCCUUCGGGUUGUAAACCUUUUUCGCUCAUGGUCAAGCCGCAGCUUUGGGUUGUGGUGAGGGUAGUGGGUAAAGAAGCGCCGGCUAACUACGUGCCAGCAGCCGCGGUAAUACGUAGGGCGCGAGCGUUGUCCGGAAUUAUUGGGCGUAAAGGGCUUGUAGGCGGUUUUUUAAGUCAGGUGUCAAAGCGUGGAGCUUAACUCCAUUAAGCACUUGAAACUGAAAGACUUGAGUGAAGGAGAGGGAAGUGGAAUUCCUAGUGUAGCGAUGAAAUGCGUAGAUAUUAGGAGGAAUACCGGUGGCGAAGGCGACUUUCUGGACUUUUACUGACGCUCAGGUACGAAAGCGUGGGGAGCAAACAGG